AUGUUAAUGCCUGUAAUAAAAGGAGAAGAGAGAUGCACAUCUCCCUUCCCAAAAUCUCACAUCUGUUUCAACUUCAGUGAACUACACACACCCGACUCAGCUUUCCCAUCAGCACUAUUGUGCUGCAUGUGCCAACAAUCCCCAGGGCUGAGCAGUGGCUACCAAACCCAUCCUGAUAAGGCCCUGCAACAAAAGACAUCUCACCACCACUGCUGCUGCCAGAAAGUAUGGAGAGCAAAAUCACAGGAAGAAGAAAAAGUAACAGCCAGAUCAGAUUUUCUGUUGAUUUAUGAGGUCUUUUUUUCGUCUUAAUGCUAUCUGACACUGAUAUUUCCCAUUCCUGGGUGAAAAAUCUUCUCCUCCUCCUACCUGCAGUCAUUUGGAACAUACAACCAUUUCUCUGUCUACCUGAAUCCCCAUGAUUUUCCACCCAUAACCUGAAAAAAAGAUUAAAAAGCUUUGUCUUUUGACUUUCUCAAUGUUACCUCCAUCUUGUUAUUAAUGUUUGGGGGUUUUUUAUUCUUCAGUAAAUAUUUUAUUUAAUACAGCAAAGCCUUUUGGGAUAGCCUUUAUAUUAUAGAAAUUAUAAAAAUGGAUUUACAUUGUGUUGUGAAUGAUGAUACUUAAACUACUCAUAUGCCUACAUUCUUCCUCUCAACCUCUAUUCCUUUAUAAGCAGAGAAUGGAGAAUACUUAAGGAAAAUAAGAUUCAUUUCCUUAAAAACCUCUAAGCUAAUGCAUUGUUAUGUUUGUUACUGUGGUUUCUGUGAGAGGAGAGGAAGAUGGAUAACAACGUGGGCACUUCUAAAGCAAAGCAUUUCCAAAGCAAUACCCACAUCAGUGGCUGCUUUCAACACCAGCUUUCUGCUUCCUUCCUUUUCCUCUUUCUGCUUGAUUCACGACAAAAUGUGAGACCUUAUGCAGCAGGAAAAAAUGAUUUUCCCACAUGGUGGAAUUUUACUGAUCUCAGAGUGUGAUAAGAUAUGGCUACACUCUGUGUUGAACCUGCCUCAAAGGCCAGGGGAAGCCUUGACCUGCAUGGUGUGAAAUAGGCGAUAGUGAGCCCUGAGACCACUUACCACAGGGACAGCGGUGAGAGGCAGCAAUGGGCACUGGGGUGCACAAUACAGCAGGAACUAGGUCUUUCAGGCAAUAGCACAAGUGUGCAAAGCCAAGUGCACAGCCCAAGUACAAAGCAUCACCGACCUCUGCCUGGCCAGUCAUUCAUACAGCCACGUAAACUGGUGUGAGAGUUGCAUAUGGGACUGCGCUUUUCUACCCUGUUUCUCCCAGAACAAAGAAAGGUAGAGCA
rnacentral:lncRNA from 1 species